rnacentral:rRNA from 1 species
GACAGAGGGUGCAAACGUUGUUCGGAAUUACUGGGCGUAAAGCGCGUGUAGGCCGUUCGGAAAGUCGGAUGUGAAAGCCCUGGGCUUAACCCAGGAAGUGCACUCGAAACUCCCGAACUAGAGUCCUGGAGAGGAAGGCGGAAUUCUCGGUGUAGAGGUGAAAUUCGUAGAUAUCGAGAGGAACAUCGGUGGCGAAGGCGGCCUUCUGGACAGCGACUGACGCUGAGACGCGAAAGCGUGGGGAGCAAACAGG